CUGCUACACGUGGCCUGUAUGUGUGUCCCCUCCCACUCAGGCCUCACCUCAGAAAUCUGCUUUCCAAAGCUGUGGUUUUUGCUUUUGAAAUGUGCGUAUUAAUAAGCAGACCGUGUUGAUUAGCUUACCCUGGGUUGCUGCAACAAGUACCAGGAAGUAGCAGGUCAGGGCCCUGCCUACCCUGAAGGCCCUGGAGACAAGCCCUCCUUUGCACCUUCGGACUGGCAGUUGUCCGCUGUCCUCUAUCUUGUUGUGUCUUCGCACCAUCCUCUCACCAGUGUGUCUAUGCCCAGACUGUUUCGGUUUUUCCAGGCAGGGUCUCUCUAUGUAGCCCUGGCAGGCCUCGGACUUACUCUGAAGACCAGGCUGGUUUCUGCUUCCUGGACGCUGAGAUUAAGGCGUGUGCUGCCACUGACAGACCAGAAAUUUUUCUUGAAAGGUCUGAAGUACCUCAAAAUAUUUUGAGGGGCAGUAGUGACCACGUCCAUGACAGCCCAAGACUGAACUAGGUAACUAUUUACAGUCCAUAUAAACUGACCUCCUACAAUAUAUCAGAAAGGGCGGGCACAACAGAGAGACUGUUCCCAUUCAGGUUGGCUCUCACAGCAGCAAAAUUAAAAUUCCUAAAGUUUAUCGCAGACCAUGAAAUAGUUGAGUUCACACUGCCCACCUCUUCAGAUGAAUCUGUGAUGACCAUACUUGAGGUUAACAUUUGAGUGAAUGGAAUGUGCAAAGAAAAUCAUCCAGUAACUGCCGUUAGAGCCCAACAAGUAGCCGCUGGGUGCUUUCAUCGAAAAGUAGUCGGUGGACUGGGGACUCAGUGGUGGGGGACUAAUACGUCCAUAGGCCUGGGUUUGACCCUCCAGAAUGAACGGGGCAGAGUACAGGUGGGGAGGAUUUACACGUCAUCACAUAGUGCUCUAUAAAGCUGUACAGCCACGUCAAUUCCGAUUCACCCUGUCAUUUUGCCCCACCCCCACCUCCCAAAACCUGGCAAUAUUUAUAUUUUGUUUUGUUUGCUCAUUGAACUGUUUGAGUCAUUCUUUACUAUUUCAGUGGCUUAGUAGACAUAGGCUUUUAAAAGUAUAGUGUAACCUUAAAACCUUUCUCAAAUUUUUCACACAGUUAGCCAGCAGGAUCAAGUUAAAAACAAAGCAACGUGAGUGUGCGUGGGAAGGCCCAGCCUGAGUAGAUCUCUUAAGAGACUCUAGCUUUCCCGGAAGUUGGAGUGAGUGUCACGGGAGGAGCACUUGGCACUUCCACCCGUAGGCACUUUCUAGUUCAUUAUGGCCAGCGUAGCCCUGGGCGCCUUAGGGUAAUUGCAACAACUGAGGACUUCCUUGUGCAGAGUUAGUCGUUAGAACCCAGAGUCAGAAGAAACGGCAGUGCACGGUUCUUUAUGUUUCCAAAACUUCCCGUACAUCACGGAUCCCUAACUGUCACAGUGGAGGCUGCCGAGAAAGCUCCCUUCUUCGCUUCAUCGCCAGAACCCGGUAGUAACAGAUUCUUAAAUCAGUCAGCAUUGCUGAAUUUCUUAUGCAAUAUAGUGAGGAAAUCAGGUUUUCCAAGUAGAUCCCCACCCCCACGCCCCACACCCUACAUAGUACUUGAAAAAGGUUGAUUCUUUUGAAAUUGAGAAAAAACGAGACUUCCCUUGAACAUAUCCAUGCGUACAACAUUGUUAAUCCUGGAAAUAAACUGAAUCGCUUC
rnacentral:lncRNA from 1 species